GCCCUGGGAAGGCGAGGAGCCCAACAGGGCAGAUCAAGGUUCAAUGCUCAGAACUGAAGAGGGGAGAGGGGGCCCGCCUGAAUGAAGCUGUGCCUCCACCCUGCCUGGAUCCCUGCUCUGCACUGAGGCAAUGCAGCUCGCCCUGGGUAAGCUCCCCUCUUUGAGAGACUGGAGGACCGCCCCAUUUCUCCUGGGACCUGGACCAUGAAGACACAUGAAAUCCUCUCCCGUCUCCCUCAAAGACAGCUGUGUCUGUUCCCCGGCGCGCACGUUGCUAGUGUGGAGCUGAGCGCCCGGACAGCUGGUCGACUGACCCACAGACAGCUGAUGGCCCCCUUCCCCUCGGGACGCAGCUAGGUCUUCAAAAUCCGGCAAGUAUCUCACCCCAACAGCACACCUCCAUUCAGACCAGCCACGGGGCACGUGCCCAGCAGCCCCAUGACAGCGGCCACCGCCCCAGGCAACAGAGCGCGGCAAUGUCCGGCUAAUGAGCUACCCUACGGCUUCCAGAGCAUCUCCUUUCUUCUCUGACAACUUCCUAGACACUCGCUCUGCUCCUUCUGAUGACCAGGACUUACUAUCUCAUCUCUAAGUCCUUCUUUUUCCCAUCCUGCUGGCCUCCUACCUGGCUCUUUCUGGCAUGCUAUUAUAGCUCCUCUCCUUGAGAAGCUGGAGAAGUUCCAGAAGCCUACCCACAGCCCAAGGCCUUAACAAAGGAGGAGCUUAGGAGGCUGUGAGGAAGGAGCAGAAGCCGCCCCGUCCCUGCCUCU